UACGUAGGGUGCGAGCGUUGCCCGGAUUUAUUGGGCGUAAAGGGCGCGUAGGCGGUCACGCACGUCCGUUGUGAAAUCGCUCGGCUCAACUGGGCGGGGUCAGCGGAUACGGCGUGGCUGGAGCAAGCUAGGGGGCAAUGGAAUUCCCGGUGUAGUGGUGGAAUGCGUAGAUAUCGGGAGGAACACCAGUGGCGAAGGCGGUUGCCUGGAGCUUUGCUGACGCUGAUGCGCGAAGCG
rnacentral:rRNA from 1 species